rnacentral:rRNA from 1 species
GGAGGGCAUGCCUGUUUGAGCGUCGUUU